rnacentral:rRNA from 1 species
CAGUAGCCGCGGUAAUACGUAGGUGGCAAGCGUUAUCCGGAAUUAUUGGGCGUAAAGCGCGCGUAGGCGGUUUUUUAAGUCUGAUGUGAAAGCCCACGGCUCAACCGUGGAGGGUCAUUGGAAACUGGAAAACUUGAGUGCAGAAGAGGAAAGUGGAAUUCCAUGUGUAGCGGUGAAAUGCGCAGAGAUAUGGAGGAACACCAGUGGCGAAGGCGACUUUCUGGUCUGUAACUGACGCUGAUGUGCGAAAGCGUGGGGAUCAAACAGGAUUAGAUACCCCGGUAGUCCCUGUCUCUUAUAA